rnacentral:rRNA from 1 species
UACGUAGGGUGCAAGCGUUAAUCGGAAUUACUGGGCGUAAAGCGUGCGCAGGCGGUUUUAUAAGACAGACGUGAAAUCCCCGGGCUCAACCUGGGAACUGCAUUUGGGACUGUAUAGCUAGAGUAAGGUAGAGGGGGAUGGAAUUCCGCGUGUAGCAGUGAAAUGCGUAUAUAUGGGGAGGAACACCGAUAGCGAAGGCAAUCCCCUGGACCUGUACUGACGCUCAUGCACAAAAGCGUGGGGAGCAAACAGGAUUAGAUACCCUGGUAGUCCACGCCCUAAACGAUGUCAACUGGUUGUUGGGUCUUAACUGACUCAGUAACGAAGCUAACGCGUGAAGUUGACCGCCUGGGGAGUACGGCCGCAAGGUUG